GACAGAGGGUGCAAGCGUUAAUCGGAAUUACUGGGCGUAAAGCGUUCGUAGGUGGUGAUGUAAGUCAGAUGUGAAAGCCCCGGGCUCAACCUGGGAAUGGCAUUUGAGACUGUGUCACUAGAGGUAGGUAGAGGAUAGUAGAAUUUCAGGUGUAGCGGUGAAAUGCGUAGAUAUCUGAAGGAAUACCAGUGGCGAAGGCGGCUAUCUGGACCUUACCUGACACUGAGGAACGAAAGCGUGGGUAGCAAACAGG
rnacentral:rRNA from 1 species